UGGACUCCAGGAGCGGCGACCAUUGCCCCGGCCUCAGGUGAUAUCUGGCUGGAUGAAGUGAAAUGCACGGGAAGUGAAUCAUUCCUGUCCCGUUGUCUGGCUUCACCGCUCGGUCAACAUGACUGUGAUCACAAGGAAGAUGUCUAUGUCACCUGUUCUGGUGAAUCUAGCAUGAUACCUUGUUUCCAAAGCCUGUCUUGAAAUGAUGGAAAACGCUCGGCGUUUCAUCAGACAGCACGUGCCUUUUACCUUUCUUGCAAGAUCGACAAGCAGAUCUUCACAGCAUUGAUAUCACUCGCCAACUUAUCACAAGCAGAAUCUUUGACUUCAUUUUAAACCACUUGGUUUGAUUUUUUUGCCCUAAAGCUUGGAAGAUAACAUGUAUACACUGCUCUCUGGACAGGUGUAGAGAAACAUAUUUAAUCGUCAUUCUUCUUCUGGAAGAAAGAUCUUUUUUUUCCUAAUCAAUAAACGCGUGUUAAUUUGAAUUUGUAAGCGUUUUUAUACAUUCCAUGUAAAUGCUUAAGAUUGUGCAGGUUAAAAUGAAUGUUACUUUGUUCUUAUCAUGCUUUACCUUGCUUUGGUGUUUGUAAUGAACUGUUUCAAUCUCGCUCAAUGUAAGAAUUGAACAAGCAUAAUAAAUACUUCAGGUGGAAUUCGA